AAUUGAGAACUGUGUAUUAAUGUUGUUUGUUUAUUUAGUGCAUUGUUCGAGGAAUGUUCUUUGAAACUGGGAGAACUGGGAAUCUAGAACGCCUUCCACUCAAAACAGGUGUGUGAUGACCGAUUGACAUUGCCAUGUGUAAUCACAAUCUUGUCUCUUCCAGGCACAGCGUGUAAUAUAUGCUUCCUGAGAACAGGCUGGUAUAUAAACGGAUGGAUCAUCAUGCUGCUGUACUCGCUAGAAGCACAGAUGGAGUUUUGACAAUUAAACCCAAAUGUGAU